rnacentral:rRNA from 1 species
AGCGAACGCUGGCGGCAGGCCUAACACAUGCAAGUCGAGCGCCCCGCAAGGGGAGCGGCAGACGGGAGAGUAACACGUGGGAACGUACCCUUCAGUUCGGAACAACCCAGGGAAACUUGGGCUAAUACCGGAUACGCCCGACAGGGGAAAGAUUCAUCGCUGAAGGAUCGGCCCGCGUCUGAUUAGCUAGUUGGUGGGGUAAUGGCCCACCAAGGCGACGAUCAGUAGCUGGUCUGAGAGGAUGAUCAGCCUCACUGGGACUGAGACACGGCCCAGACUCCUACGGGAGGCAGCAGUGGGGAAUAUUGGACAAUGGGCGCAAGCCUGAUCCAGCCAUGCCGCGUGGAUGAUGAAGGCCCUAGGGUUGUAAAGUCCUUUCGGCGGGGAAGAUAAUGACGGUACCCGCAGAAGAAGCCCCGGCUAACUUCGUGCCAGCAGCCGCCGUAAAAC